AAACGGUCAACUAGGAAAGUUGGACGAUCUUUUGAUGUUAAGUUAAUUAAUGAAUUUUGUGAAUUGGCUUCGAUUACUUCCAUUGUGAAAUAUUGCUGUAAUCCUCCAUCAUCACCAGGUUCACAAUUAACCAAAAUGGAUGUCAUUGAUUGAUUACUGAGGAAACAAUUAGCUGGAGGUUGAGGCGGUCCUGUGUUUUUUUAGGUGAACACCAUUACAAAGAAAUAAACAAAUAAACAUGAAUGGAUGAUACCAGGAAAUCAGAGGAGACGGAAUGGUGGAUCAAUGUGUUAACAGUGAUUAUGUGAUGGACCAAAAAAAUUAAACAGGAAAUUAUAGAUUGAAAUCCAAUCGAGUUAAUCAUUUUGAAAUGAAAAGUAAAUUCGGAAAUCCGUAGUGAAUUGUAUUAUGGAUGGUUGACAAGAGUCUUGAAACUGGUGACUACAAUCAUUCACAAUGGAUUGUUUUUUUAUGGGAAAAGCAAAAUAUGACGUGGAAACAAUGGUGAAUCUGGAUCCUGCCUGAAGCCAAUUCUUAUUAUAACAACACUCCAGCAACAUGAUUAACUGAAAAUAUUGAACAAUCAUUUGAAUUAACUAAACUAUUACAAAUGAUAAAGACAAGAUGUGAAUACAAAAUAAUGUUUAUCUUGUAAGAGUUAUUGAGAGAUUCAUUUCUUGUUUUAUUGUAAAUACAUUGUAUUGUAUUUUCCCGUGUUUUCACCACCAAUUUAAUAAUGUUUGAUUUCAAACUUAAUAUAUUUGUGCACUGAUUUGAGUAAAUCAAUUGUCGACGAUAGUCUUCAUUGUCAACAAUUUAUUUUUAAAGUUUUAUUGAGUGAAGGCAAUUGAGACAUUCAAAUGUUGCCCAAUAAACUCAUUUGAUCCGUCAA